rnacentral:rRNA from 1 species
UACGUAGGGUGCGAGCGUUAAUCGGAAUUACUGGGCGUAAAGCGUGCGCAGGCGGUUUUGUAAGCCAGAUGUGAAAUCCCCGGGCUUAACCUGGGAAUGGCAUUGGGACUGCAAGGCUUGAGUGCGGCAGAGGAGACUGGAAUUCCUGGUGUAGCAGUGAAAUGCGUAGAUAUCAGGAGGAACACCGAUGGCGAAGGCAGG